UGAGACGCAGCGGGCUUUAGAUGUGU
rnacentral:piRNA from 1 species